rnacentral:rRNA from 1 species
UUUGACCUCAGAUCAGGCAAGACUACCCGCUGAAUUUAAGCAUAUUAGUAAGCGGAGGAAAAGAAACUAACAAGGAUUCCCUCAGUAACGGCGAGUGAAGUGGGAAUGGCUCAAGCUUGAAAUCUCUGUUGCUUGCAACAGCGAAUUGUAGUCUCGAGAAGCGUUUUCCCGGCGGAUCUAUCCUGCCUAAGUUGCUUGGAACAGCACAUCACAGAGGGUGACAAUCCCGUUUGUGGCAGGGCAGACCGUUCAUGAUACGCUUUCCAU